UAGAAAGUGAUCCAGUCGCCGCUCGGAAUCAAAACCACGAAGAGAAACAAACAUACCUCUUAGUAACGUCAACAUAAACUUUGUUUUACAAUAGCAACCACUCAUAUUUAAUCGUCGACCAGACCUCCAUAGGAUCUUCCUUAAGUCAAAAAUGGAUAUCCAUUAUUAAAAAAUAGAGUAAACAAAGACUAUGAUUAAAGCCGUCUUGAGAUUAUACCGGAGGAUGUUCUGAAUAAUAUGUGUCAAGAUGAAGGAAUUGCGCCCAUUAAAACGAAUAAUUAUUCGAUUAAUUAAUUUAAAUUUAUAUAAUGCAAUGUUCCUCAACGUGAAAAGUGGAUAAUUUUUAAGAGUCCAGAAAUAUCAAGUGUUAUAAAAAAUAUUGGAGCGAUUAAUCAAACUUCUCAGGAGUUUCAAUAAAAGGUUAGGAGUUUUGCCUCUAUUUAAGUUCAGGAAGCUGUUAUACCAAUUAAAGUCGCAGAAAUUGGGACACCCUGUAUAUGCCAACGUGAAUAGUCACAAUCAUGAUAUAUAUAGUUAGUAGGAUAUGGAGAAACAUUGUAGGCAACGCAUCACCGAGUGUAGGACUUUGCAAGUAUCGUUUACGUCCUCUAGCAGUUUGAUGGAAAGAACUGAUGGAUAAACAAAAACAAAAAAAACAUAUAUACAAUCGUAUGAUUUUACUCACGGUUUUG